rnacentral:rRNA from 1 species
CCCUUAGAUGUUCUGGGCUGCACGCGCGCUACACUGAUUCUUUCAGCGAGUCCACCACCUUGCCUGGGAGGGUGGGGUAACCUCUGGAAAGAGCAUCGUGAUGGGGAUCGAUUAUUGUAAUUAUUAAUCUUCAACGAGGAAUUCCUAGUAAGCAUGUGUCAUCAGCCCGUGCUGAUUACGUCCCUGCCCUUUGUACACACCGCCCGUCGCUCCUACCGAUUGGAUGGUCCGGUGAAGCCUCGGGAUUGUGGUUCUUGCCGCUUUAUUGUGGCGUGACCGCGAGAACUUGUCUAAACCUUAUCAUCUAGAGGAAGGUGAAGUCGUAACA